rnacentral:rRNA from 1 species
CAGCCGCCACGGGAAUACGAGGGGGGCAAGCGUUGUUCGGAAUUAUUGGGCGUAAAGGGUGCGUAGGCGGUCUGAUAAGUCUUAUGUGAAAUCUCUGGGCUCAACCCAGAGUCUGCAUGGGAAACUGUCAGGCUUGAGAAUGGGAGAGGUGAGUGGAAUUUCCGGUGUAGCGGUGAAAUGCGUAGAUAUCGGAAGGAACACCUGUGGCGAAAGCGGCUCACUGGACCAUUUCUGACGCUGAUGCACGAAAGCUAGGGGAGCAAACAGGAUUAGAGACCCCAGUAGUCCCUGUCUCUUAUAC